rnacentral:tRNA from 1 species
GCCCGGAUGGUCUAGUGGUAUGAUUCGCCCUUAGGGAAACUGGGCGAGGUCCCCGGUUCAAUCCCGGGUUCGGGCC